AAAAUGUUCUACAUUAGUUUGAUCUUAUUAACCUGCUAUGCUCUUGGCUGCCAUGCUAACAAAAUUGUUGAAGUUUUAAAACGGAUUGAACAAUUGACGCCAGAAACCUUCAGGGUUUCGAUACUUCAAGUACCAAAACAUUCUAAUGAUUGCAUGAGUACUUCAAUUGAUAUAUUUUCUAAGGCGAUAAAAAGCAAGAACAACAAUAUACCCCUGGAUGUUAAGGACAUCAUACUCACGAACUUAGCGGCAUUGAAGAUUAACAAAGAAGAAGGCUCUAUCGCUGUGUACUGCAAGAAAACUGAAAGAGUGCUUGCAUCUACAUACCUGAAGGAAUUUAAGAAAUUUCUGAAAACGAUACUAAGG